rnacentral:lncRNA from 1 species
AAACGUUGAGACAAAUCACCGCGGAGUACAUUUCAGAUCAUGUGUGCAUGGAUUUUCUUCUAUAAAGCGAAUCACUAGCAUAAGUAUAAACUUUUAUAUCUACAUCGGGACUAAGUUUUUAAAACGCGCACCUCCGUCAAACUUGUAGGCGAUAUGAUAUUAACUACUGAAACGUAAUCUUUAUAAGGACAAACACAAGAACGUCAACUUCCAAGGAGACAGGGAGAUUUAUUAAGCAUUAGAAGUGAAGUAAAGUUCCAAGGCGACUGGAAUAUACAGUUUUAUUAAGUAUAAUCAAAACGGGCACCUAUUUUUAAUUUGAAUUAGUCAGGUGAUAUAAACUGUCGACCCUCUACAAAGUAACAGCGUUCAUUAUCAAUGAAAUAAAAGAAAAUUGCUGAAACGACAAAUUAACAAAAGAUUGGCAGACGAAAGAGCGAUUGUGAGAAAGAAGAAAUAAACUAAUUAAUAUAAUAUGAUGGGAAGCGCGAGAGCCUUAUACAUAUCCAAGACAUUGUUUCUAGUUUUAGUUUUAUUGACGAACUAUAGCAGUGGUUAUUAUAUUAGACAACAGUCUUUUGUUACAGGUA